rnacentral:rRNA from 1 species
GAAACCAGCGUUAGAUACCCUGUUAUACCAGGCUUGAAAUAAUAAUAAUCUUGAUUAGUAAUAAUAAAUUAGUUUGAAAUUCAAAGGGUUUGGCGGUAUUUUAGUCUAGUUAGAGGAACCUGUUUUAUAAAUGAUAAUCCGCGUAAUAUCUUUCUUGCUUUGGUUUGAGCUAGUAUACCAUCAUUGUUAGAUAAUUUUAUUUGCCGAAGAAAUUAUUGUAAUUAAUUUGUUUUUAAAUAUAUUAGAUCACGGUGCUGCUAAUGAGCAAGUGAAAAAUGGGUUACAAUAAUCUUAAUUUAUUACGGAUACGUUAAAUGAAGUUUACGUUGAAGGUGGAUUUAAUAGUAACAUUAAUUUAAUAUGUAUUUGUGAGAUUAGCUCUAAAAUAUGUACAUAUCGCCCGUCGCAA